rnacentral:rRNA from 1 species
UCCGUAGGUGAACCUGCGGAAGGAUCAUUACCGAGUUGAUUCGGGCUCCGGCCCGAUCCUCCCACCCUUUGUGUACCUACCUCUGUUGCUUUGGCGGGCCGCGGUCCUCCGCGGCCGCCCCCCUCCCCGGGGGGGUGGCCAGCGCCCGCCAGAGGACCAUCAAACUCCAGUCAGUAAACGAUGCAGUCUGAAAAACAUUUAAUAAACUAAAACUUUCAACAACGGAUCUCUUGGUUCUGGCAUCGAUGAAGAACGCAGCGAAAUGCGAUAAGUAAUGUGAAUUGCAGAAUUCAGUGAAUCAUCGAAUCUUUGAACGCACAUUGCGCCCUUUGGUAUUCCGAAGGGCAUGCCUGUUCGAGCGUCAUUACAACCCUCAAGCUCUGCUUGGUAUUGGGCACCGUCCUUUGCGGGCGCGCCUCAAAGACCUCGGCGGUGGCGUCUUGCCUCAAGCGUAGUAGAACAUACAUCUCGCUUCGGAGCGCAGGGCGUCGCCCGCCGGACGAACCUUCUGAACUUUUCUCAAGGUUGACCUCGGAUCAGGUAGGGAUACCCGCUGAACUUAAGCAUAUCAAUAAGUGGAGGGAUC